GUGGAUUAGAUACCCUGGUAGUCCACACCCUAAACGAUGAACACUAGGUGUGGGUGGGAAAACCAUCCGUGCCGAAGCCAACGCGUUAAGUGUUCCGCCUGGGGACUAUGAGCGCAAGCUUAAAACUCAAAGGAAUUGACGGGGGCCCGCACAAGCAGCGGAGCGUGCGGUUCAAUUCGAUGCGACACGAAGAACCUUACCAGGGUUUGACAUGGAUGUGGUAGGGAAGGGAAACCGGACCGACUCGCAAGAGAGCAUACACAGGUGAUGCAUGGCCGUCGCCAGCU
rnacentral:rRNA from 1 species